ACCAAUAUAAUAGGCAAUAUAUUUGGUAAUAGGCUAUGCUUGAGAUAUUAAAAUUUUCCCUCCCUCCCACCACCCGCCAAAAACUUUUUGGCGGGUUAAUUAGAAUAUUAGUGUCGUCUGCUGCUUUCGUUUUUCGUUAGAGUUUUCAGUUUCGAAAAAGCAGCAAAGAGAAAAGAAGCAUGGACGUAGACAAAGUUUCAGAGUUUUAUAUUAUAGAAAACUGAACGGAUCACUGGUUUUGGAAAAAAAACUUGUACGUGGCUGCAAUAGAAAUAGGCAUAUGAAUAGAAUGAUUUUGGGAGCUUAUACAGAAGAGUUAAACCACUGUUCCAAAUUUGUCUAAUGUUGGUGCCUGACUACAGUGACUAGUAUUUAUCAUGUCUGAGCCAGCCAUCGUAACCACCAAGAUGUGCAAGUUUUGAUACUAACCUGUCAUCACCAACAAUCUCAGCAUCAUCAAUUGGAUAAACAGCUCCUAGUGUAAUUGGAAAAAAUAUGUCCUCGUGUACACCCAUGUGAGUGUGGGGGUAUUCACGAAGGCCCCUUUUCCUAUCCUGCUGCCUGGCGUCAACGUCAACUUUACUGAGGAUUGGUACUUAUGGAUGCCUGGCUGUGGAUUUCCCGGGCAUAAAGGUAGGAGAAAUUCUCUCUAUCCUUUUCUUUUGCUGCGUUGGUUU
rnacentral:lncRNA from 1 species